AAUAUUUCAAUCCUUGGUGUGUUAAGGACAAGUGUUUCAAAUUAGUCGUGUUAGAUAAUGUAUCUUGUUAUGAGUCUAUUUCUAAUCUAUAUAAGACUCCUUAUGUAAUAAGUUUUUGUAUAUAAGUUUUUGUAGUCUUUGGAUUCAUCAAGGUGUAUAAUAUUAUCAUUAACCUUUUCUCAUUAGAAUAUUUCUUUCACAAGUGCCCCGGUUUCUCUCAUCUUCCAUGAUGUCUCCGACAACGGUGCCUCCGACGACCUCCAAUGAUUGACUUAGCUUUGUUGCUAUCGUAGAUUCAUCUUUGUCACGACUUCGCUGUCAUCGUAGAUCUAUCUCCAUCACGGCUUCGUCGUCGUUGCAGCUUAAGCCCCCAUUCCCAUUUAUAUCGUGGCAUAUUUCGACAAAUUUCCUUCCUUUUUCAUUUUUUUUUUUUUUUUUGCAUUUUCAAGUUUCAUUCUUCGAAUUUCAGUCAUGAAUUGUGCAUCGGUAUUCUAUAGUGCGUAUGACGAAAGAGGUUACCAAAAUUGUGAAUUGAUUGCAUGGGUUUAGAGAAUGCCAGAGCUUCAUAAUGGAGUGCGACAGGGGCGUGGCCGUGACUAGAAAGCAUUGGAUCCGACAAAGAAGAAGGUGAAGGCUCGUGCGGCACCAAGAGGAAGACCGAGAGCUAGAUUGGCGGCGAAGGAAUUGGAGUGCCAGGAGCCGUUGUCCCGUUAGUGACACCAAAACUAUUUAUACCAAUACCGGAGCCAACGAAAUAAGAGAAAAUGAAGUUGUUGUGGACAUGAAUAUGCGUGACGAAAGUAAUGGGUUGAGUGGUAAUAAGCCUGAUGAGGAUGCCAUCACUCCACCUUUUCCUCACAGGCUUGAUUAAUUUGGGGAAUAAGUUUGUUGCAAAUGCUCACAGAUUCAACUUUCUAGGAAUAAUUUGUUAUGAAGUUUGCAUGUUCCCCAAGCUAUGUCAGUGGAUAACAAUUGAUUUUUCAUAAAAUUGAUAAGCUGAGGCAAAGUUGCAACAACGGCAAAGCCACGAUGAAGACAAAUAUGUGACAGUGACAGAGAUGAAUCUGCUACAACAUUCAAAGCUAUGUCAUUCGUCAGAGACACUAUUGCUGAAGACAUCAUGAAAGAUGCAGAAGACAAGGCAUUGUGGAAUAAAUGUUAUGAUGUGAGAAGGUUCAUGAUAAUAUUAUGCACUUUGAUGAAUUCAAUGGCUAAAAAAAUUUGUAUACCAUACACAAAUUAUUAUAUUUGACCACCGUAGCUUGCACCUAUGUAAUAAUAGAGUUAGGCGUAGCAAAUUAAUAGUUGUUAGGACAAAGGAUGAUAAAAGACCUUGAGUUUUUAUUCA